rnacentral:rRNA from 1 species
GGGGGUGCUAUACAUGCAAGUCGAGCGAAUGGAUUAAGAGCUUGCUCUUAUGAAGUUAGCGGCGGACGGGUGAGUAACACGUGGGUAACCUGCCCAUAAGACUGGGAUAACUCCGGGAAACCGGGGCUAAUACCGGAUAACAUUUUGAACCGCAUGGUUCGAAAUUGAAAGGCGGCUUCGGCUGUCACUUAUGGAUGGACCCGCGUCGCAUUAGCUAGUUGGUGAGGUAACGGCUCACCAAGGCAACGAUGCGUAGCCGACCUGAGAGGGUGAUCGGCCACACUGGGACUGAGACACGGCCCAGACUCCUACGGGAGGCAGCAGUAGGGAAUCUUCCGCAAUGGACGAAAGUCUGACGGAGCAACGCCGCGUGAGUGAUGAAGGCUUUCGGGUCGUAAAACUCUGUUGUUAGGGAAGAACAAGUGCUAGUUGAAUAAGCUGGCACCUUGACGGUACCUAACCAGAAAGCCACGGCUAACUACGUGCCAGCAGCCGCGGUAAUACGUAGGUGGCAAGCGUUAUCCGGAAUUAUUGGGCGUAAAGCGCGCGCAGGUGGUUUCUUAAGUCUGAUGUGAAAGCCCACGGCUCAACCGUGGAGGGUCAUUGGAAACUGGGAGACUUGAGUGCAGAAGAGGAAAGUGGAAUUCCAUGUGUAGCGGUGAAAUGCGUAGAGAUAUGGAGGAACACCAGUGGCGAAGGCGACUUUCUGGUCUGUAACUGACACUGAGGCGCGAAAGCGUGG